rnacentral:rRNA from 1 species
GAUGAACGCUGGCGGCGUGCCUAAUACAUGCAAGUCGAGCGAACGGACGCGAAGCUUGCUUCUCUGAUGUUAGCGGCGGACGGGUGAGUAACACGUGGAUAACCUACCUAUAAGACUGGGAUAACUUCGGGAAACCGGAGCUAAUACCGGAUAAUAUUUUGAACCGCAUGGUUCAAAAGUGAAAGACGGUCUUGCUGUCACUUAUAGAUGGAUCCGCUCUGCAUUAGCUAGUUGGUAAGGUAACGGCUUACCAAGGCAACGAUGCAUAGCCGACCUGAGAGGGUGAUCGGCCACACUGGAACUGAGACACGGUCCAGACUCCUACGGGAGGCAGCAGUAGGGAAUCUUCCGCGAUGGGCGAAAGCCUGACGGAGCAACGCCGCGUGAGUGAUGAAGGUCUUCGGAUCGGAAAACUCUGUUAUUAGGGAAGAACAUAUGUGUAAGUAACUGUGCACAUCUUGACGGUACCUAAUCAGAAAGCCACGGCUAACUACGUG